rnacentral:rRNA from 1 species
GACGAACGCUGGCGGCGUGCUUAACACAUGCAAGUCGAACGGAAAGGCCUGCUUUCCCUUGUGGAUUGCGGGUACUCGAGUGGCGAACGGGUGAGUAACACGUGAGUGAUCUGCCCCCAACUUGGGUAUAAGCCUGGGAAACUGGGUCUAAUUCCCGAUAGGACUGCAGGGUGGUGCCUGUGGUGGAAAACGAUUUUCUAGUGGUUGGGGAUGAGCUCGCGGCCUAUCAGCUUGUUGGUGGGGUAAUGGCCUACCAAGGCGGCGACGGGUAGCCGGCCUGAGAGGGUGGAGGCCACAUUGGGACUGAGAUACGGCCCAGACUCCUACGGGAGGCAGCAGUGGGGAAUAUUGCACAAUGGGCGGAAGCCUGAUGCAGCGACGCCGCGUGGGGGAUGACGGCCUUCGGGUUGUAAACUCCUUUCGACCGCGAGGAAGCCACCUGGUUGGAAGGGUGGUGACGGUAGUGGUAGAAGAAGCACCGGCUAACUACGUG